rnacentral:rRNA from 1 species
AGUGAACGCUGGCGGUAGGCCUAACACAUGCAAGUCGAACGGCAGCACAGUAAGAGCUUGCUCUUACGGGUGGCGAGUGGCGGACGGGUGAGGAAUACAUCGGAAUCUACUUUUUCGUGGGGGAUAACGUAGGGAAACUUACGCUAAUACCGCAUACGACCUACGGGUGAAAGCAUGGGAUCUUCGGACCUUGCGCGAUUGAAUGAGCCGAUGUCGGAUUAGCUAGUUGGCGGGGUAAGGGCCCACCAAGGCGACGAUCCGUAGCUGGUCUGAGAGGAUGAUCAGCCACACUGGAACUGAGACACGGUCCAGACUCCUACGGGAGGCAGCAGUGGGGAAUAUUGGACAAUGGGCGCAAGCCUGAUCCAGCCAUACCGCGUGGGUGAAGAAGGCCUUCGGGUUGUAAAGCCCUUUUGUUGGGGAAGAAAAGCAGCAGGUUAAUACCCCGCUGUUCUGACGGUACCCAAAGAAUAAGCACCGGCUAACUUCGUG